UUGUGUAAGCGGUAGUAAUGGCAUCCUUUAUUUUGCUGCCAUAUAUGGCAAAAUAAAGAUAUAAUGGAUGACGCGACCACCU
rnacentral:sRNA from 1 species